rnacentral:rRNA from 1 species
GAGUUUGAUCCUGGCUCAAGAUGAACGCUGGCGGCGUGCUUAACACAUGCAAGUCGAACGGGGGUGCCAUUUUCGAGGUGAUUAGUUUACUAAGAGCCAAGAUGUUGGUAUCUUAGUGGCGGACGGGUGAGUAACGCGUGGGUAACCUGCCUUAUACAGGGGGAUAACACUUAGAAAUAGGUGCUAAUACCGCAUAAGCGCACGGGGCUGCAUGGCCCAGUGUGAAAAACUCCGGUGGUAUAAGAUGGACCCGCGUCUGAUUAGCUUGUUGGCGGGGUAACGGCCCACCAAGGCGACGAUCAGUAGCCGGCCUGAGAGGGUGGACGGCCACAUUGGGACUGAGACACGGCCCAAACUCCUACGGGAGGCAGCAGUCGGGAAUAUUGCGCAAUGGAGGGAACUCUGACGCAGUGACGCCGCGUAUAGGAAGAAGGUUUUCGGAUUGUAAACUAUUGUCGUUAGGGAAGAAAAAAGACAGUACCUAAGGAGGAAGCCCCGGCUAACUAUGUGCCAGCAGCCGCGGUAAUACAUAGGGGGCAAGCGUUAUCCGGAAUUAUUGGGUGUAAAGGGUGCGUAGACGGGUGUUUAAGUUGGUUGUGAAAUCCCUCGGCUCAACUGAGGAACUGCAACCAAAACUGGAUAUCUUGAGU